UAGGGAAUCUUCCACAAUGGACGCAAGUCUGAUGGAGCAACGCCGCGUGAGUGAAGAAGGUUUUCGGACCGUAAAGCUCUGUUGUUGGUGAAGAAGGAUAGAGGUAGUAACUGGCCUUUAUUUGACGGUAAUCAACCAGAAAGUCACGGCUAACUACGUGCCAACAGCCGCGGUAAUACGUAGGUGGCAAGCGUUGUCCGGAUUUAUUGGGCGUAAAGCGAGCGCAGGCGGAAGAAUAAGUCUGAUGUGAAAGCCCUCGGCUUAACCGAGGAAUUGCAUCGGAAACUGUUUUCUUGAGUGCAGAAGAGGAGAGUAGAACUCCAUGUGUAGCGGUGGAAUGCGUAGAUAUAUGGAAGAAUACCAGUGGCGAAGGCGGCUCUCUGGUCUGCAACUGACGCUGAGGCUCGAAAGCAUGGGUAGCGAACAGGAUUAGAUACCCUGGUAGUCCAUGCCGUAAACGAUGAGUGCUAAGUGUUGGGAGGCUUCCGCCUCUCAGUGCUGCAGCUAACGCAUUAAGCACUCCGCCUGGGGGAGUACGACCGCAAGGUUGAAAC
rnacentral:rRNA from 1 species